UAUUUUUAUUUUACAGUUUAUAAUUAUUAUUAGGUAACGCUAUACUACGAAUCCAUGAGAUAAUUGUUAAAAAACUGAAGUUUUAAUCCCUACUUAAACAGCAUAUUAAUAAUAUUUUAAAAUUUUAUAAAUAUUGAUUCAAAUACAUCCACCAUAUAACCUAAUUCCAAAAUAAAACCCGUUCUUUAAUUUUUUUACCCGUCCCGUGAUUUUUUUUUUAAAGUAGUAAUUUUUAAAAUUUAAGAAUUAUUUUUUAUAUAUAAAAGUUUUGCACAUUGUAUCAUUCUCUAAUACAUUUAUAUUUUAUUG
rnacentral:sRNA from 1 species